rnacentral:rRNA from 1 species
UCGGCCCUGAGUAAAGUGGCGCACGGGUGAGUAACACGUGAAUUAUCUACCUCCGAGUGGGGAAUAACUUCGGGAAACCGAGGCUAAUACCGCAUAACACUUACGAGUCAAAGCAGCAAUGCGCUUGGAGAGGAGUUCGCGGCAGAUUAGUUAGUUGGCGGGGUAAUGGCCCACCAAGACGAUGAUCUGUAUCCGGCCUGAGAGGGCGCACGGACACACUGGAACUGAAACACGGUCCAGACUCCUACGGGAGGCAGCAGUGGGGAAUUUUGCGCAAUGGGGGAAACCCUGACGCAGCAACGCCGCGUGGAGGAUGAAGUCUCUUGGGACGUAAACUCCUUUCGAUCGGGACGAUUAUGACGGUACCGGAAGAAGAAGCCCCGGCUAACUUCGUGCCAGCAGCCGCUUUUUAUACGAGGGGGGCAAGCGUUGUUCGGAAUUAUUGGGCGUAAAGGGCGCGUAGGCGGUUUGGCAAGUCUAGUGUGAAAUCUUCGGGCUCAACUCGAAGUCUGCACUGGAAACUGCCGGGCUUGAGUAUGGGAGAGGUGAGUGGAAUUUCCGGUGUAGCGGUGAAAUGCGUAGAUAUCGGAAGGAACACCUGUGGCGAAAGCGGCUCACUGGACCAUAACUGACGCUGAGGCGCGAAAGCU